UACGUAGGGUGCGAGCGUUAAUCGGAAUUACUGGGCGUAAAGCGUGCGCAGGCGGUUGUGCAAGACAGAUGUGAAAUCCCCGGGCUUAACCUGGGAACUGCAUUUGUGACUGCACAGCUGGAGUGCGGCAGAGGGGGAUGGAAUUCCGCGUGUAGCAGUGAAAUGCGUAGAUAUGCGGAGGAGCACCGAUGGCGAAGGCAAUCCCCUGGGCCUGCACUGACGCUCAUGCACGAAAGCGUGGGGAGCAAACAGG
rnacentral:rRNA from 1 species